AUUGAACGCUGGCGGCAUGCUUUACACAUGCAAGUCGAACGGUAACAGGGAGCUUGCUCCGCUGACGAGUGGCGAACGGGUGAGUAAUGCAUCGGAACGUACCGUGUAAUGGGGGAUAACGCAGCGAAAGUUGUGCUAAUACCGCAUACGAUCUACGGAUGAAAGCAGGGGAUCGCAAGACCUUGCGUUAUACGAGCGGCCGAUGUCGGAUUAGCUAGUUGGUAGGGUAAAGGCCUACCAAGGCAACGAUCCGUAGCGGGUCUGAGAGGAUGAUCCGCCACACUGGGACUGAGACACGGCCCAGACUCCUACGGGAGGCAGCAGUGGGGAAUUUUGGACAAUGGGGGCAACCCUGAUCCAGCCAUGCCGCGUGAGUGAAGAAGGCCCUCGGGUUGUAAAGCUCUUUUGUCCGGAAAGAAAAGCAAUCGGUUAAUACCCGGUUGUUCUGACGGUACCGGAAGAAUAAGCACCGGCUAACUUCGUGCCAGCAGCCGCGGUAA
rnacentral:rRNA from 1 species